GAAUGUGAUAUUGCGACUGCAUGUUUAACGAAAGAAAAUAAAUGCGGUUUUUAUGAAAAACAAUAAAGAACGGUACUUUUUUUGUGCAAACAAAAGCACAAAACAGAAAUAUAUUAGUUUUAAAUCGGAGUUCAUUGUAAACGGAUGGAAUUAAAAUAUAUUAGAAAAGUGAAUAAAUAUAAACAAAUAUAAAGUGAAAAUUAAUUAAAUGGUAAGAAAACAAAGUGUUAUCUUACACAGUUCCACCGAGUACAAACAACAAUAGCAACGGAAGACAAUCAUGCACAAUAUCACCGACGAAUAAUUGUAAUAACAUCCAAAGAUUAUCAUGUACCGUGUAACCGACGACCAACUAUAAUAACACCCAAAGCUUAUCAUGCACAGUGUCACCGACGUCCAAAAACAGGCCACCGACGACCAAUAACAAUAGCAGUCAAUUAACAGAAAUAUUAAAUGUUUUGCGCAAAUUAGAAGGACAUAUCACAGUAUUAAAUUCGAAAGUUGACCGCCUCACUGUUGAGGUUAUUUCCAUAAGAAGUGAGGUUUCGACAAUUAAAA